AAGUCGUAACAAGGUUUCCGUAGGUGAACCUGCGGAAGGAUCAUUAACACGUAGCAAUCUCUGCACUCCGUCGUAGGACAAUGGAAGGAGGAGAGACUUCUGAUUGGUAGCGUUACCCAAGAUAAUGCACGCUUGACCAAGUCGGUUAUUUUUCCCCAAGCAAUCAGUGAGUGAAAGUGUCAUUGGUUGUGUAAGGAUUUCGCUUGACGAUCACUAGAGGCCGCUCACCGGCCGGUGGAUUAACUUACAGAUCCUUCAAUGGAUUCCUCCCCGACCCCAAUUUUUACUACCGCUCCGCGCUUAACAGCGUGGGGCACUUAAGAAAAACGUACUAAACAACUGUUAACAAUGGAUAUCUUGGUUCUC
rnacentral:misc_RNA from 1 species